rnacentral:rRNA from 1 species
AUUGAACGCUGGCGGCAGGCCUAACACAUGCAAGUCGAACGGUAGCACAGAGAGCUUGCUCUCGGGUGACGAGUGGCGGACGGGUGAGUAACGUCUGGGAAACUGCCCGAUGGAGGGGGAUAACUACUGGAAACGGUAGCUAAUACCGCAUAACGUCGCAAGACCAAAGUGGGGGACCUUCGGGCCUCACACCAUCGGAUGUGCCCAGAUGGGAUUAGAUAGUAGGUGGGGUAAUGGCUCACCUAGGCGACGAUCCCUAGCUGGUCUGAGAGGAUGACCAGCACACUGGAACUGAGACACGGUCCAGACUCCUACGGGAGGCAGCAGUGGGGAAUAUUGCACAAUGGGCGCAAGCCUGAUGCAGCCAUGCCGCGUGUAUGAAGAAGGCCUUCGGGUUGUAAAGUACUUUCAGCGGGGAGGAAGGCGGUGAAGUUAAUAGCUUAACCGAUUGACGUUACCCGCAGAAGAAGCACCGGCUAACUCCGUGCCAGCCGCCGCAGUAA